UACGAAGGGGGCUAGCGUUGCUCGGAAUCACUGGGCGUAAAGGGCGCGUAGGCGGCGUUUUAAGUCGGGGGUGAAAGCCUGUGGCUCAACCACAGAAUGGCCUUCGAUACUGGGACGCUUGAGUAUGGUAGAGGUUGGUGGAACUGCGAGUGUAGAGGUGAAAUUCGUAGAUAUUCGCAAGAACACCAGUGGCGAAGGCGGCUCACUGGCCCGGUACUGACGCUGAGGUGCGAAAGCGUGGGGAGCAA
rnacentral:rRNA from 1 species